rnacentral:sRNA from 1 species
UUUGACUAAGGUUCGACUCGAGCGCCAGCGAGAGAGCGUUGCCGCAGGCAACGACCCGUAGGGCGAAGCGCGCAGCGCUGAGUAAUCCUUCCCCCACCACCA